CGCCUGGGGAGUACGGCCGCAAGGUUAAAACUCAAAUGAAUUGACGGGGGCCCGCACAAGCGGUGGAGCAUGUGGUUUAGUUCGACGCAACGCGAAGAACCUUACCUGGCCUUGACAUCCAGAGAGCUUUCCAGAGAUGGAUUGGUGCCUUCGGGAACUCUGAGACAGGUGCUGCAUGGCCGUCGUCAGCUCGUGUCGUGAGAUGUUGGGUUAAGUCCCGUAACGAGCGCAACCCCUAUCCCUGGUUGCUAGCAGGUAAUGCUGAGAACUCCAGGGAGACUGCCGGUGACAAACCGGAGGAAGGUGGGGAUGACGUCAGGUCAUCAUGGCCCUUACGGCCAGGGCUACGCACGUGCUACAAUGGCGCGUACAGAGGGCUGCCAACUCGCGAGAGCGAGCCAAUCCCUUAAAACGCGUCGUAGUCCGGAUCGGAGUCUGCAACUCGACUCCGUGAAGUCGGAAUCGCUAGUAAUCGCGAAUCAGAAUGUCGCGGUGAAUACGUUCCCGGGCCUUGUACACACCGCCCGUCACACCAUGGGAGUGGAUUGCACCAGAAGUAGUUAGUCUAACCUUCGGGAGGACGAUUACCACGGUGUGGUUCAUGACUGGGGUGAAGUCGUAACAAGGUAACCGUA
rnacentral:rRNA from 1 species